rnacentral:rRNA from 1 species
GGGGAAAAAUUAAUUAAUAAAAAAUAAUAAAAAUAAUUUUAAUUUAAUAAUAUUUGAUAGGGGUGUUAAAGUAUUAUUUAAAGAAUAAAUUAUUAAUUUUAUAGUAAAUUAGUAUUGUGAAAGAAUUAUGAAAUAUUUGAAAUAAAAAUUUAUUAAAAAGUAAUUUUUAUUUAUUGUAUCUUGUGUAUCAGAGUUUAUAAAAAAUUUUUAAUUUAUAAUUAAUUUCUCGAAUUUAAAAGAUUUAAAUAAUUAAAAAAGUUAUUGUGUCAAUAUUAUUUUUAAUAAUUAUUUUGAAAUGAAAUGUUAUUCGUUUUUAAAGAUAUCUAGUUUUUUUAGAAAAAAAUUAAAUUUUAAAUUUAAUUUUUGAUUAUUUUAAUUAAUUAAAUUUUUCAAUUUUUAAAUUUUAUAAUUUAAGGGAUAAGCUUUAAAUUAAAUUUUUAUAAUAAAAAUUUAUUAAUUUUAAAAAUUUUAUAAUUUAUAUUGUUAAUAAAUUUUAUUUUAUUAUAAAUAAUUUUAAUAAAUUAAAAAAUUUAAUGAUUUUUAUUUAAAUUUUUAUAAAAAAAUUAUUUUAAAUAAAAAAAAAUUAGAAAUAAUGAUAAAAUUAGUAUAUAAAUUUAAUUUAAAUUUAAAAUUAUUAUUUUUAAAUUAAUUAAUUAAAAGGAAUUCGGCAAAUAUUUAUAUUCACUUGUUUAACAAAAACAUGUCUUUUUGUAAUUAAUUUAAAGUCUAAUCUGCCCACUGAUUAAUUUAAUUAAAGGGCUGCAGUAUUUUGACUGUACAAAGGUAGCAUAAUCAUUAGUUUCUUAAUUGGUGACUUGUAUGAAAGAUUGGAUGAAAUAUAUACUGUCUCUUAAUUAAUUUAUAGAAUUUAAUUUUUUAUUUAAAAAGUUAAAAUAAAUUAAAAAGACGAGAAGACCCUAUAGAGUUUUAUAAUUUUAAUUAUAAUAAAUUAUUUAUUUUAUUUGGAUUUUUAUAUUUAUUAUUAUUUUAUUGGGGUGAUAAAAAAAUAAAUUUAACUUUUUUUUAAAAAUUAAACAUAAAUAAGUGAAUAUAUGAUCCAAUUUUAUUGAUUAUAAGAUUAAAUUACCUUAGGGAUAACAGCGUAAUUUUUUUUUUUAGUUCAAAUAAGAAAAAAAGUUUGCGACCUCGAUGUUGGAUUAAGAUAAAAUUUAAAUGCAAAAGUUUAAAAUUUUUGAUCUGUUCGAUCAUUAAAAUCUUACAUGAUCUGAGUUCAAACCGGUGUGAGCCAGGUUGGUUUCUAUCUUUUAAAAUUUUAAAUAUUUUAGUACGAAAGGAUCAAAUAUUUUAAUUAAAUUAUAUUUUUAGAAUUUUUUUAAAAUAAAUUUAAAAUAAUUAAUUAAAUGUAAAAAU